UUUUUGAAGAAUCAGAGAGCUAGCUUCAUGCUUCGGGGUGGAAAAAAAAGACAGAGAAUUGGGUUUUUUUUCUUCAUAGGGUUUUGGGAAGACUGAGGCAAUCGUUACUGAAGUUAGUGUUGUAAUGGUGAAUCGGGAUUUUUAAUGAAGUGGAUUUGAUUACUCUUGACUGUUUUGUGAAAUCGAGUUACGUCUGUGAUGAAGAGUUAAAAGGGUGUCUAUAGGAUUGAAUAUGCGAAGUGAAUGAAAUUUAUUGGGUUAAUCUAACAAGACAGUCAGUGGAUACAAGAUCAUGAGUAUAAAGCGGUAUCGAAGAUUAGUAGUUUG
rnacentral:lncRNA from 1 species